UGGGGAAUUUUGGACAAUGGGGGAAACCCUGAUCCAGCCAUACCGCGUGUGCGAUGAAGGCCUUCGGGUUGUAAAGCACUUUUGGCAGGAAAGAAACGUCAUGGGUUAAUACCCCGUGAAACUGACGGUACCUGCAGAAUAAGCACCGGCUAACUACGUGCCAGCAGCCGCGGUAAUACGUAGGGUGCAAGCGUUAAUCGGAAUUACUGGGCGUAAAGCGUGCGCAGGCGGUUCGGAAAGAAAGAUGUGAAAUCCCAGAGCUCAACUUUGGAACUGCAUUUUUAACUACCGGUCUAGAGUGUGUCAGAGGGAGGUGGAAUUCCGCGUGUAGCAGUGAAAUGCGUAGAUAUGCGGAGGAACACCGAUGGCGAAGGCAGCCUCCUGGGAUAACACUGACGCUCAUGCACGAAAGCGUGGGGAGCAAACAGG
rnacentral:rRNA from 1 species